rnacentral:rRNA from 1 species
AUUGAACGCUGGCGGCAGGCCUAACACAUGCAAGUCGAGCGGAGCGGCGGACGGGUGAGUAAUGCCUAGGAAUCUGCCUGGUAGUGGGGGAUAACGUCCGGAAACGGGCGCUAAUACCGCAUACUAUCAGAUGAGCCUAGGUCGGAUUAGCUAGUUGGUGGGGUAACGGCUCACCUAGGCGACGAUCCCUAGCUGGUCUGAGAGGAUGACCAGCCACUAGGGAAACGAGACACGGUCCAGAAUCAUACGGGAGGCAGCAGUGGGGAAUAGUGCACAAAGGGCGCAAGCCUGAUGCAGCCAUGCCGAGUGUAUGAAGAAGGCCUGAGGGUUGUAAAGUACUAUCAGCGGGGAGGCGUUCCCCGCAGAAGAAGCACCGGAUAGCUCCGUGCCAGCAGCCGCGGUAAUAC